AGUGAACGCUGGCGGUAGGCCUAACACAUGCAAGUCGAACGGCAGCACAGUAAGAGCUUGCUCUUACGGGUGGCGAGUGGCGGACGGGUGAGGAAUACAUCGGAAUCUACUUUUUCGUGGGGGAUAACGUAGGGAAACUUACGCUAAUACCGCAUACGACCUACGGGUGAAAGCAGGGGAUUUUCGGAUUUUGCGCGAUUGAAUGAGCCGAUGUCGGAUUAGCUAGUUGGCGGGGUAAAGGCCCACCAAGGCGACGACCCGUAGCUGGUCUGAGAGGAUGAUCAGCCACACUGGAACUGAGACACGGUCCAGACUCCUACGGGAGGCAGCAGUGGGGAAUAUUGGACAAUGGGCGCAAGCCUGAUCCAGCCAUACCGCGUGGGUGAAGAAGGCCUUCGGGUUGUAAAGCCCUUUUGUUGGGAAAGAAAAGCAGCAGGUUAAUACCCCGCUGUUCUGACGGUACCAAAAGAAUAAGCACCGGCUAACUUCGUG
rnacentral:rRNA from 1 species